rnacentral:lncRNA from 10 species
AAAAUCUUCAUUACCAUUUCAAGAACUGGGAACAAAGAAAAAUCCCGUUCCAGGACGCAAAGGAGGAGAUGCGGGUAGCUGAACAGAAACUUUUGAAGAUUACCAUGGGAAUACACCUGUGAACUUCCAGGUUUGAUCUCAGUUACUCCCUUACUUGAAGAAGGCUUCGAUGAUUCCUCAUGGAGAAAUCCCAGAUACUUCUGCACAUGAUUCAGAGGUCCCUUACAACUGGCUUCAGCCUGCCUUCCAAGCCCUGUCUCUCGCCUCUCCCUUCCUUCACACUGUGCUUCAGCGAGAUGCUGUGUUUUUUGCAAAUGGACGGUUUGGGCAACUCUUUGUGGAGCAAGUCUAUCGGUGCCAUUUUCCCAACAACAUGGAUUCACUUCAUGUCUCUGAGUCACA